AACGAACGCUGGCGGCAUGCCUAACACAUGCAAGUCGAACGAGAUCUUCGGGUCUAGUGGCGCACGGGUGCGUAACGCGUGGGAAUCUGCCCGUUGGUUCGGAAGAACAGUUUGAAACGACUGCUAAUACCGGAUGAUGACGCAAGUCCAAAGAUUUAUCGCCAGAGGAUGAGCCCGCGUAGGAUUAGCUAGUGGGUGUGGUAAAGGCGCAACAAGGCGACGAUCCUUAGCUGGUCUGAGAGGAUGAUCAGCGACACUGGGACUGAGACCCGGCCCAGACUCCUACGGGAGGCAGCAGUGGGUAAUAUUGGACAAUGGGCGAAAGCCUGAUCCAGCAAUGCCGCGUGAGUGAUGAAGGCCUUAGGGUUGUAAAGCUCUUUUACCCGGGAUGAUAAUGACAGUACCGGGAGAAUAAGCUCCGGCUAACUCCGUGCCAGCCGCCGCCGUAA
rnacentral:rRNA from 1 species